CGCGCACACACCGCCCGUCACUCUCCCCAAGCCAAUCAGCACCCUAUAAAUAAUACCUUUCAUCGGUAAAGGGGAGGCAAGUCGUAACAUGGUAAGUGUACCGGAAGGUGCACUUGGAAAAAU
rnacentral:rRNA from 1 species